rfam:Candidatus Berkelbacteria bacterium CG2_30_43_20 cg2_3.0_scaffold_1819_c, whole genome shotgun sequence.
UUUUUGGAGAGUUUGAUCCUGGCUCAGGAUGAACGCUGGCGGCGUGCCUAACACAUGCAAGUCGAAUGAUCAGAAGACAGAGGACGGAUGACGGAAGACAGAUAAGACGAUAUAAUAAAUAUAUGAUAAAAGAUGUAACCGACCUAAGAAUUUAUCAAAUCGCUCUUGGUUUGCUUCCGGAAUUAGCUAAAUUGUUACCAAAAGUUCCUUAUAGAAAAAUUCGUUUUCAAACAAUUGAUUCAGCAAAAUCAAUUUCAGCCCAAAUUGCAGAAGGAUAUGCCAAGAAAAAUUCUGUAAAAGAAUUCAAAAGAUUUUUAGAGAUGGCACUUGGUUCGUCUGAUGAGGUGAUAACCCAUUUAAGACAAAUAUAUCUUUUAUAUGUAAAUAAUAUUGAUAGAGAACUGCUGAUAAAACUAGGAAAUGAAUAUAAAGAACUAUCUAAACAAAUAAACAAGACCAUUCAGAUCUGGAAAUAAUCUGUUAUCUGAUAAUCUGUUUUCUGUCUUCUGAUCAUGGCGAACGGGUGAGUAAUGCGCAGAUAACCUGCACCAAACCGGGAAAUACCCAGCCGAAAGGUUGAAUAAUGUCCCAUAUGUGUAUCGUUGCAAUACGAUACAUAAAAAUUCCGGUGGUUUGGGAAGGGUCUGCGUCCUAUCAGCUUGUUGGUGAGGUAAUGGCUUACCAAGGCUACGACGGGUAGCUGGUCUGAGAGGAUGAUCAGCCACAAUAGGACUGAGACACGGCCUAUACUCCUACGGGAGGCAGCAGUUGGGAAUCGUACGCAAUGGACGAAAGUCUGACGUCGCGACGCCGCGUGGAGGAAGACGCAUUUCGGUGUGUAAACUCCUUUUAUAGGGGAAGAUUAUGACGGUACCCUAUGAAUAAGGACCUGCUAACUACGUGCCAGCAGCAGCGGUAAUACGUAGGGUCCGAGCGUUAUCCGGAAUUAUUGGGCGUAAAGGGUCUCUAGGUGGUCAAGCGGGUCUUUGGUUAAAUCCCCACGCUUAACGUGGGUAUCGCCUAAGAAACUACUUGGCUUGAUGGUAGCAGGGGCAGAUGGAAUUCCCGGUGUAGCAGUGAAAUGCGUUGAUAUCGGGAAGAACACCAAUGGCGCAGGCAGUCUGCUAGGCUACUCAUGACACUGAAGGACGAAAGCGUGGGGAGCGAACGGGAUUAGAUACCCCGGUAGUCCACGCCGUAAACGAUGCAAACUAGGCAUCGAGAGUAUCGACCCUCUCUGUGCCGAAGCUAACGCGUUAAGUUUGCCGCCUGGGAAGUACGGCCGCAAGGCUAAAACUCAAAGGAAUUGACGGGGACUCGCACAAGCGGGGGAACAUGAGGUUUAAUUCGACGCUAAGCGAAGAACCUUACCAGGGUUUGACAUCUGUGGAACCUGCCGGAAACGGUGGGGUGCCCGCAAGGGAGCCACAAGACAGGUGGUGCACGGCUGUCGUCAGCUCGUGUCGUGAGAUGUUUGGUUAAGUCCAAAAACGAGCGCAAUCUUUGUCCUGUGUUAAAUUUUGUCACAGGAGACUGCCGUGGUUAACACGGAGGAAGGCGGAGAUGACGUCAAGUCAGCGUGCCUCUUACACCCUGGGCGACACUCGUGUUACAAUGGCCGGUACAAAGGGUUGCGAAACCGCAAGGUCCAGCUAAUCCCGUAAAGCCGGUCCCAGUUCGGAUUGAGGGCUGCAACUCGCCCUCAUGAAGCCGGACUCGCUAGUAACCGUGGGUCAGCCACACCACGGUGAAUACGUUCUCGAGUCUUGUACACACCGCCCGUCAAGCGAGCCGAGUCGGCAACACCCGAAUCCCGAUGUAUUUUGGGAGACGGUGGGGUCGGUAAGGAGCGCUAAGUCGUAGAUCCGAAGAUUAUUGCGACUCUC